ACCUUGUCUCCAGCUGAGGCUGAGCGAGCACGCCUUUGUUUAGGGCCCCUUGUCUCGGCCUGUGUCAGAGCUUGCAGGGGCGUUGGGCCUCUCUCUGCAGGGAGGACUGGUUUUAGAGGACUCCCGCUUCCCCCAGUUGUAUCAGUUCAGGUGUAAACCCGAUAUGCAAUAGGAUCCGGCGUGGUGUCCACACUCAUUAGACACAUGGCAUCGUUUCCAAAGAUACAGGCCCCCGCACUUCAGCUUGAUGCCAGAGGGCUUACACGUAAACUCUGCUUGACUUGGAAAUCAAAGAGAGGUGAGAAGAGUUCAGAUUUUCUCCUGCUGAGGUAGGAGGCUCGCCAAGAGACAAGACUGGACUCAUAAGGUCUGCAACUGGCUUUAUCUAGUUAAUAGCAGCCUUUGACAUCACAAAACAUGCUAUUUCCUUGUGUUCAUGUCUUUAAGAGGAGCCACGGUGAAAGCAAACAUUAAAGAUUUUAAUCUAACAAAAAUGUGGAGUGAAAGUAAGACAUUUUACACCUGCUCUCUGCACUACUAUUUCAGGAGGAGGUCGGUCGCUGAUGUUGAAACUGUUAUUCAUAAAUGUUUUCCAUCUGUGUUUGUUUCUGAUUUCUCAUCUGCAUCCGCAGUUAUGCAAUGUCCUCCAAUGUUUGUCUCUUCUUCCUGAAAUACGGUCUAUUUCACAUUGCACUGCCCAUUUUCACAAGGCAUCACUGGACUAGGGAGUCCUCAGAGAAAGCCAGGUAUGGUUCAGCUGUUUCCUUUCCAGUGUAUAUGACACUUGGGAAAAAGACAGCUUGAGGGUAAAUUUGCCUCAUCGUUAGAGAUACCUUAUUAAUAUUAAGUCUGCAAAACAAGUCCUCUCUUUAAUUCAACACUUCCAAAAUGAACAAAGAGUUACAAUGCCCUGCAGUAAAAGGCGACUUAAUUGCAUUUGGCCAAUAUUUAUUUCGUGCACACUGUGUAAGACGCAUUGAACUAGAGAGUAUAAAAAUUGGUAAAUUACCAUCUCUCAACUAAAUAAUCUUAUGGUCUCAUAACAGAAAUAGGUUACAAUGAAUGUACAAAUAACAAUUUAAAUAAAGAUAAUAAUGAGAUUUUUAAAUGAUUAAAGUUAUUCUCCAAGAACACUUUAAACACAGUGCUUAAAUUGUUUCUAUUUAUUGAGCUUCUACUACAAUGAAGACUAUAUGGUAAUUCUAGGAUUAGAGACGCAUGAGCAACACACACACACACACACACACACACACACACACACCCUGCCCCCAACUCACAAACAGUAGAAAGCAUGUGACAUUAAAUAAUUGCAUCAUUUAAUUCUUGCAGCAACCGUGGUAUUAUAAUCCCCCAUUACACAUGAGAGCACUCAGUGUAACCAUAGGGAGUUGAUCUGCUGCCAGCCACACUGAAGAGGCAGGGCAUACUUCAGGUAUCAGGGGUUGAGAUUUGGCUAUGAGAGCUAGAAUGUCUGGUUCCAACUCCAGUUCCACAACAUGAAAGCUGCGUGACACUGAGCAAGUCACUCAAUAACUCUGUCUGAGUUUCCCCGCGCUGUAAAGGUUUGUUUUGAGAAGUGAAUUAAUCCUCAUCUUGAUCUACCUAGGGAGAUCUAGUAUACAAGAAAUUCCUCUGUCAUCUUUACUUUUUUUUAAUCAAAAAGUUAAACAACUUCA
rnacentral:lncRNA from 10 species